rnacentral:rRNA from 1 species
GCCCUAGUAACGGCGAGUGAAGCGGCAACAGCUCAAAUUUGAAAUCUGGCUUCGGCCCGAGUUGUAAUUUGCAGAGGAUGUUUCUGGCGCGGUGCCUUCCGAGUUCCCUGGAACGGGACGCCAUAGAGGGUGAGAGCCCCGUAUGGUUGGAUACUAAGCCUGUGUGAAACUCCUUCGACGAGUCGAGUAGUUUGGGAAUGCUGCUCAAAAUGGGAGGUAAAUCUCUUCUAAAGCUAAAUAUUGGCCAGAGACCGAUAGCGCACAAGUAGAGUGAUCGAAAGAUGAAAAGCACCUUGAAAAGGGGGUUAAACAGUACGUGAAAUUGUUGAAAGGGAAGCGCUCAUGACCAGACUUGUGCUGGGCAGCUCAUCCGGGGUUCUCCCCGGUGCACUCUGCCCAGUUCAGGCCAGCAUCGAUUUUUGCUGGGGGAUAAGAACGGUAGGAACGUGGCCCUCCUUCGGGAGGGUGUUAUAGCCUGCCGUACGAUACCCUGGCGGAGAUCGAGGUUCGCGCAUCUGCAAGGAUGCUGGCGUAAUGGUCAUCAGCGACCCGUCUUGAAACACGGACCAAGGAGUCGUCCAUUAGAGCGAGCGUUUGGGUGUAAAACCCGCACGCGUAAUGAAAGUGAAAUUAGGUGAGAGCUUCGGCGCAUCAUCGACCGAUCCUGAUGUUCUCGGAAGGAUUUGAGUAAGAGUUUUAACGGACGGACCCGAAAGACAGUGAACUAUGCUUGUAUAGGGUGAAGCCAGAGGAAACUCUGGUGGAGGCUCGCAGCGGUUCUGACGUGCAAAUCGAUCGUCAAAUAUGAGCAUGGGGGCGAAAGACC